rnacentral:snRNA from 1 species
GGAUGUGAGGGCAAUCUGGCUGUGACAUCUGUCACUCCAUUGAUCACCAGGGUUGAUUCAGCUGAUCUGGCUGGCUAGGCUGGUGUCCCCUUCCUUCCUCACCGCUCCAUGUUGCGUCCCUGCCGAAGCUGCGCCCUGGGUCAAAGAGGAUGACCAUCCCCGAUAGAGGAGGACCGUUCUUCAGUCAAGGGUAUACGGGUAGCUGCGCUCCCCUGCUAGAACCUCCAAACAAGCUCUCAAGAAGGAGAGGAGAGGUAUGAGCAGGUUCAUGCCAACUUUCACCUCAUAAGAAUAGGUAACUUUA